rnacentral:lncRNA from 1 species
CUUUUUUCUUCAUAACUUUAAAACAAAAACAGCGCAUGAAAACCAGUGUCUUAUUCCAAAGUCUCAACUCAGCUGAUUGCCAGGUGAACAUCACCAUCUUACUCCUCUGAAUAACUAGACACAAAUUACAUAGCAAGUUCGAGUUUCUGCCCACCCAAGACACAGCCAGUAAUCAGUCACAAACACAGACACAGCCAACUCCAGGGGCUCCAGCUUUCUGCCCAUCUUCUCUCAGCAGUUCCUCCCAUCUGCUAAGAUGCGCCUUCCUGGUGGCUCUCUCUCAAGGUGGGUCAAGGCUGAACAAGACAGAAAAGCACAGUCUAGGUCCACCAUCACCUCCCACUGGCCACCAGUUGGCCAGCCAGGAAAUCAUUUCUGUACAUCUUUUGUCUCCCCCUUUUAUCUCCCUCUCUCUUCUCCAAAACUUGUUGCUAUCUAUCACUUUCAUGUAACAAUGGACUUAGUGUCCAUUAAACUGCCUGAGAAGUGGUUUGAGCCUGACAUAUUUUCCUGAGCUAAAAAAGGAAAAGUAC